UUUUUUUCUACUUCUUCUUUUUACGCCUUUAAUAAAAUGUCGAUCGGUGUAAGAGAUGUGUUUAACCUCCCGAGCAAAAGUCGUCAUGUUUAAUUUUCUAACUUCUGCCGAGGCCAGCCGGCCGGCCUGUGUCAACGGUUCCCGGACCGACUUGACACGGACAAACAGCGGCUUUCCCCUCGUCCGCCAUCUUUGCAUCAACAUCGGGGCUUAGCACCCGACCGCAGCACAACAGCUGACUGGCAGGACUCCUGCCGUGUGUGCCGCUGUGCGUCUGGAAGGAGAGGUCGAGCCAAAAGAAGUCCAGUUUAUUUUCAGCUGUCAUCGCUACUCUGACAGAGGCUCAUAACGGUGACCUCAGAGGCGACUCCACACAUGUAUGGACGUGUAGGCACGACACAUGCAAGGGUGGACAAAUCUGCCUUUGUGACGGGACACGCAGCAAGUGGUCAGAACUGAUGAGAAGAUAAGUGGAUGGGAAGAAAUGGAGCAAAAGACAAUCCUGGAAGAAGACCUGUUACAGGCAGUAAAAGUGCUGAAGCCGGGGUAGAGGUUUCCCUUCCAGCAGGACAAGAACCCUAAACACACAGCCAGAGCUCCACAGAUACUCCUCAUUUAAUAUCAAGUCUUUGCUAUCAACUACAAAGAGGAAUGGGAAAGUAUUUUGCUUCUAGACUUGCAAAGGUGCCAGAAAUUAACCCCUCAAAAACUACUUUGUGUUGGCAAAGAAUCCUAAUAAAAUGUUUGGAAAUUUGUGGCUGUAACGUGACAAAAUGUGAAAAAGUUCAAGUGGGCAUGAAUAGUUUUGCCAGGCACCGUAGUUUCUUGUAGUCAAGAAGAGUUCAAUGUUGCACAUAAUUUAUUUUGAAAACAAGUUGCACCUGUUGAUGUCCACAUAUAUAUUGAAGUAUGCUUUUUAUUUUAUUUUUAUAGUGUCCUAUAAUGGUGAAUGAGAGAAACCUCUUCACUCACGGUUAUCAGAGUGCCAUACUACAUUUGAAAGAAUAAAAUGACAAUUUCUGUCUUACUAUA